AUGUUGGGGAGACACCCAGCACCCAAGUGCCUGAGACAGGACCCCAGGGGCUUCACCAUGGACUUGGUGCCAAGCUGCUUUUUCCUCCUGAUCAUUUUUCAAGGUGUCCAGUGUGAGGUGCAGCUGGUGGAAUCUGGGGGAGGUUUGGUGCAGCCUGGGGCAUCUCUGAGACUCUCCUGUGCAGCCUCUGGAUUCACCUUCAGUGACUAUGAAAUGGACUGGGUCCGCCAGGCCCCAGGGAAAGGGCUGGAGUGGGUCUCAUAUAUUAAUCCUGAUGGAAGUAGCACAUUCUAUGCCAACUCUGUGAAGGGCCGAUUCACCAUCUCCAGAGACAAUGCGAAGAACACGCUGUAUCUGCAAAUGAACAGCCUGAGAGAUGAGGACAUGGCCCUGUACUACUGUGCAAGAGACACAGUGAGGGGAAGUCAGUGUGAGCCCAGACCCAAAACGCCCUGA